GUCAUAACUCGACAUUCAUGCUAUAUUUGGAUGGUCAAGUCUUUGUUCGUUGCAUAAUUAAGAUAAAUGUUCAUAUUGUGUGAAGUGUAAAACAUGAUGUAAUUUUCUUUUCAUAUGAUAAACUAUUUUACCACUAGCUUACCCUUACUUUUGUGUUGUCUAUCUGUGUGUUGUUUUCUCUUUUGCAAUAAUCACCUUAACUGGUGUGAGCUUAGGAAGGGGACAUCUUUUUACUUGAUUCAGCGUUCGAUUGAGAGAGAAGCAACAAGAUAGAUAAAUUUUGUUCUUCAAGGGAAAAAUAUCCUACUCUAGUAGCCUUAAGUUCCUUGUAAGUUAUCAUAUAUGUACAUUUUGUUUUAGUAGUUUUAUACUAUUAAAAUGAGAUAUUACAUUUACUUUGUUGACUUAAAAUCAUCUAAGAGAAAACAUGUUCUAUGUGAUAAAAAAUUCAAAAAACAAAUGUAAUUUUUUAGUAGAUACUAACAAAACAAAAAUUCGUAGAGGUAAUGAUUGUACAUGAUAUUUGUUGAUAGGGGGAGUUAUGUAUAGCUGAACCAAUCUCACAUACAUGUUUUUGAUGAUGAACAAAAGAAAUGUUUUAUAGUUUCUUAAACAACAAAAUGGCAAAACAAUUGCUUGAUUAUAUUUGUUCUUGUGCUUGAACUGUUUGGUAUGUGCAUUCAUUGAUUGGAAAUGAAUCAUAAGUUGAAACACAUUGCACAUUGCAUAUCUGCAUGAAAUAAUCGACUAUUCUAUUUGCAUAAUCUGUUAAAUUUCGUCACAUAUCAGUAUAUGAUUAUCAAGGACAAAACAACUAUAUUUUAAUCGAUUACAUUAAUUGUAUAAUUGACUAAAACACAUUGCUAUGCCAGGACAUAAUUGAUGAGUGCAUUGAAGUAUUUUGAAUGGAAAAUGUUUUCAAAUUUGCUUAAGUAUUGAACUUAAUUGAUGACAUCAUUUUCUUAAUCGGUUAAAAUGCGCUUUAAGUGAAAACCAUUUUCUUGAAAAGCCACAACUGUCAAUAACGGUCAUAUUUUGAAUAUUGUUGGCUUGUAUGUUUUUUUAUAAUCGAUUGCAUGCAAAUUUAAUCUGUUAAAUCUUAUGCAGAUGUAAAUGUGUUAAAAUAGAAGGAAAAACUUAACAUAUUACAUUAAAUCUUAAUCGAUUAAAUUGCGAUAGAGUUGAAAAAUCUAUAAAUAAAUGCAUUAAUCUUUGCCUCAAAAAUAUUUUGAUGAUCUUACACGUUCAUAACUAAGUUGGUUGUUGAGAUUUAAUUGCAGGAGCGUCCUAGAAUUCUUGAAGAAUCAAGAUCACUCAUUUGGAAGGAAAUCCAUAAAGAUUCUUGCAAGAACAUUGUGCAUACACAUUACUGAUCAAAUAUGCACAUAUGGUGUAUUCUAUCUGGAUCAGUAUUCAUCUACAAUCAAUAAGAUUGUGUUUCACUGUUGAGCCAAGAAGAGGACCUUGUGUAUUCUAGUUCUUAGAGUUUGGAUUGCUCUAAGGUGACAAAGAGUGGGGAUAACUUUUUGGGUUGAGACUGUGAGGUGUUCAUGUCUUGUUUGCUAUAACAGAUAUUGAGUUUGGGUGAAGAGAGUGCAUUGAGAGGGAAGUCUUUGUAUUCUUGAUUGUAUACACUCUAUCAUUAUAGUGGUUACCUUAAACUCAAGUUGAUUGAAGGAAGACUGGAUGUAGGCUUGGCCG
rnacentral:lncRNA from 1 species